rnacentral:rRNA from 1 species
CAGUAGCCGCGGUAAUACGAAGGGUGCAAGCGUUAAUCGGAAUUACUGGGCGUAAAGCGUGCGUAGGCGGUUUGUUAAGUUAGAGGUGAAAGCCCGGAGCUCAACUCCGGAAUUGCCUUUAAGACUGCCGAGCUAGUAGGUGAGAGAGGUAAGUGGAAUUCCGAGUGUAGAGGUGAAAUUCGUAGAUAUUCGGAAGAACACCAGUGGCGAAGGCGACUGACUGGACAAGUAUUGACGCUGAGGUGCGAAAGCGUGGGGAGCAAACAGGAUUAGAUACCCCUGUAGUCCCUGUCUCUUAUAC